rnacentral:lncRNA from 1 species
GUUAAAUAAAAAAAAAUAAGACUCUAAACUCAAAUAAAAAAUAAUGAACCUUCAACCUCAAAUUCCUAUUUGAACAACUUUUUAUUGGUAUUGAUCCAUUUGAAUCAUUACUAAACUAAAAUAGCUUACUCAAUCUCGACGAUUGCUUAUUCAUAGGCAAUUAUGAGUUCAAGACAAGCCGCUAUGGUGAAAUCGGUAGACACGC